rnacentral:rRNA from 1 species
GACGAACGCUGGCGGCGUGCUUAACACAUGCAAGUCGAACGCUGAAGCUUGGUGCUUGCACUGGGUGGAUGAGUGGCGAACGGGUGAGUAAUACGUGAGUAACCUGCCCUUGACUCUGGGAUAAGCCUGGGAAACUGGGUCUAAUACUGGAUACGACAUGCCACUGCAUGGUGGUGUGUGGAAAGGGUUUUACUGGUUUUGGAUGGGCUCACGGCCUAUCAGCUUGUUGGUGGGGUAAUGGCCUACCAAGGCGACGACGGGUAGCCGGCCUGAGAGGGUGACCGGCCACACUGGGACUGAGUCACGGCCCAGACUCCUACGGGAGGCAGCAGUGGGGAAUAUUGCACAAUGGGCGGAAGCCUGAUGCAGCGACGCCGCGUGAGGGAUGACGGCCUUCGGGUUGUAAACCUCUUUCAGCACGGAAGAAGCGAGAGUGACGGUACGUGCAGAAGAAGCGCCGGCUAACUACGUG